GGGGGUAGAUGGGUGCUGGUGUGCCCUCUGGUCUUCAAAACCAGUAUGGGGAGUUGGUAGCUUCCUGGGUGGGUUCGAUUCCCACAUACUCCCGCCA
rnacentral:tRNA from 1 species